UAAUGAGUGGGUGGAGAAGGCUCCUUCACUCUUCAGACUUGUGAGGUCUCCUUUAAGGUGUGUACUACUGUUGGAUAAAGAGACAAACUUGCAGUGAUGUGUCUGUCAGCACUGCUUAGAGUGAAGGAGCAAGGUAGAAAUUGCACAAGAGUCUAUUACUGUUGCCUUCAAGAGCACAGAUUUCUCAGAGGACUUGGACCUCACUGCAGAUCAGGUGAACAUACCCAAAAUAAUUUUCAAAUGAUCACAUGCAAGCCACUGAAGUUCAGCCUGUGGAGCCUGAGGACCUUGGAUGUGUAUUCUUCAGUUGUCUAUGCUGUUUCAGUCACACAUCUGCAAUAUAAAAAAAAUCCUCACAUUCAUAGCCGACUCUUUUCAUCUGCUCACAUGUGAUCUAUAUGUUGCUGUCUUUAUUCCUGGGAAGAGAGAUUGUCUUCCAGCUGGCAGUUUAACCAGCGAAGUAUAGUAAACUGUUACAUAUCUAAAAAAAUUCUUGCAGUGUAAAAAUCCAUUUCCCACUCUUAUU
rnacentral:lncRNA from 1 species